ensembl:lncRNA
UAGAAGGCAAUGGUCCUAUCUUCACCACAGUUCUGCCUUCAUGGAACUGCAAAAUUUAGUUAAUCUUUUACAGUUUCCACACUUAGCAUCUUUCCAAGCAAUAUAGAACACAUGUUCAUCCAGUGGUGUAUAUAUAUAUACAGAAAUAUAGAUAUAUACAUGUACACAUUUGUACAAAAGAAGAUUCAUUGGGUUUUUUGGUCAAUUGGCUCACACCUAAAAUAACUUUUUAAGUUAAAUGAAACAAGUCAAUUUGGGACACAUCAAAUGCAAUUUAGAAACUUUCAUACAUCUCAGAUGUGUAGUUUUGACUCCAAAGAACAUCAGUCAAGCUUGGGAACUGCGUUUGCAGUAUUACUGUUAUUAUUAUUGUAUUAUUGUUUGUAGUGUUACUGUUAUGCAAUAACACUGGCUGUUGUGGUGGCUAAUGAGGAGAUAAGCCAUGAAAUACAGUGCUCCAUGGAGUCCUGCAAGAAUUAAGCUGUGAAUCUGUGAUGAGUCCAAAACAGACAAAAGAGAUGCUUCUCCAUGUCUAUGGUGGAGGGACUCUUUACUUAUUCAGGUUUUCUUUUCACAGUAGCUGAUUUUUGAGAAGUAACUGAGUUUUACCAUACAGCUGAGUGCAACUGCUAAUUCCGUCUUCUCUGCAUUUGACAAGUGAACUCCAUCAUUAAAAAAUACAGUUUCAAUGAUAGUAGAAAUAUGUAUAGAUUUAUGUAGCUAAAUAAUUCCUCUUCCCUUUAUUUUGCACUAUAUGUGGGUCUCUCUGAAAGUAGUGCCUCCUAUUUAUUAUCAUGGUAACUGCAACAGAUACAAAUAGCACAGUAACACAGUUUGAUCUGAGCUACAAAACACUAUUUUUCAACACAGUCAGCAUCAUUAGCUAUGCAUGUUCACCAGCACUGAACAAGAGCCUGCAUGCCAUGCUCAUAAAAAUCUGCACCAGUGGAGAUGGCUCAGUGGCACCGUUGCCACUGCUGAAACACACCAUCCACCCUUCUGUAAGCAUCAAUGAAUGUCAGUGGCUGCCAUUUUCUCUGCAUGGAGGAAUUCAUUGACAAACCUUUGCUUCAUACACACUUCCAUGUCAGAUGUCAUUUUUGUCAGACUGCCCCUCUGCUACCAUCUGUCACACAGCAACAACACAGAAUAGGAUAUUGGUGGGAAGGUUCAAGAUCUACUGCCAUAUCACAUCUGCUUCUGACGUUGUAAGCCAACAAAACCAAAUAGGAGGCAUUAAUUUCAGAGCAACCCUCAUAAAAUAAGGGGCAUUAUGUCCAGAGUAGUCCUUUUAGAUGGUCUUUUAAUAAAAUCUAGCAGGCAAAAAAAUUGGCACUAGAACCUUCACUUUGAUUCACAAAUGAAUCCAAGGCAAAGGUAGUGCCAGCACCAUUUCUUGCCUCACAAUUUGACCUAAUUCUUCAUGCUGUGCCUGGUUUAUACAAGCACGGGCAAAAUGGCUGAUGCCCAAAAGGCUAAUAAAGAUCACCCUGCUCCCAGCAUGCUCUCUACUGUUAGAAACCAGCAAUUAACUUAAUAGGGUUCCUGAAAUGCGGUAGUUUCAGGAGAUGUGGCAUGCGUUGACAUUCUCUGGCUGGUCUAAACAACCUCCCAUCCCUCAGAAGCAGGAUAUGUUUGCUAUUUGAAUUAUUUAGGAGCAUGUUAUGUGAAUGAUAAAGCUGCACUUUGCAGCAUUAAGUCUAAUAUUUUAUGAUCUUCAAUUGAUUAGGUAGGCUUUUGGGAUUAGCUAUAAAGGUUGUGAUAAAGCAUCCCAGAUUCUGGCAAUUUGUGUUCACAGUUGGAGUUUCAAGUUCUAUGCAGCAAAAGUUGUGGAAAAGAAGUCGUUUUAUCUUAUGUUUUCUAUCAAAAAGACUAUUUUACUCGCAACUCACCAAAGAUGUUUUGAGAUGUCCAAAGAAAAUAAAGGAAUUGAUUUGCUCAGCCAGCUAGAGCAGUACCAAUAUUUUUAUGGGAUUUAGUGGACAUUCACACAAAGGUUUAUGUGAGGAAGGAUACUUGUGCAGCAAGGUAUGAGGAAAUAGCAAAACAGAUUGAUUUGGACAAAAGGAAACCAUCAGGGGUUGAGACAGAUUUAAACAAAGGUGGCAGAAGAGAAAUAAGAUGACAUGGAAGAAAGCAUAAAAGCAAGAAUGAAAGAAACAGAGGUAGAAGAGACAGAGGAGCAACACUAAGACAUGGUGAAGAGGGGAUUAAAAAAAAAAAAAUCAAGAUUUUCAAAGGAAUAGAGGAUAAGCCAUCAGGCCUCACAAAACUAACUUCUGCUCCUGCUGAUUUCUUCUUUCUCAUUGCUUCUCCAGUUUCCAUGCUACUGGCUUCUGCUUCUGACAAUAGAGAUUUGUACAUCGAUGCUGUGCUCGCCAGCUGGUCCGUGGGAUUUGCAUUACGCUAUUUGUUUGGAUGGAUGCUUUCCUGUAAAGAGAUGAUGUCGCGUUUUUCAGCCGGCACAGGAGUUUGCAGGCUGCUGAAAGCUCAACAGCCAUUCAGGCUUCAAAGACAAAAGGGAGAUUUCCCUCUUUAAUCUUCGCCGAUGUUCCCUCACUCAACCCAUCUUGGCUGGAAGCUCUCUGGAGCAGCGCACACAGCGCUCGCCAAUGCGCGGAGCCGUGCGCUCCUGGUGCUAAUAAAGCCAUCGCUCCAGCACGGCAGGUCGGGUGAUUACUGCCUCUGGUAAAUGCUUGUGAGACAAUAAGCAGACAUAGGGAGAAAUGAACUGAUUGAGAGCCCGCAGUGAAAAGCCAAUGCUGUUCGGGAAGCUUUUUCCUUACAGAUGAGAUAUAAAACCAAUGCCUGCCUAACCACUUAUGUACAUUAAUGAUCCCCCGGUGCUCUCCAAAAGAGGAAAAAUAUUAACCCAGGCAUCAUAAUAAUAUGCUGCUUGCUUAUAAGCCCUGUACAAUUUAAAUUCAAUCUGGUGUGAUGUUAUUUCUGACUUCCUGACCCAAAUUGGUGUGCGUGCAGCUCUGAGCUGUUAAGCAGAUGAUUGUUCCAUCCCAGCAGCAGAUCCAUCUCUCCAAUGCCUUGGAAGGAUUUCUCGGCCUGCGUUGCAGAGAGCCUCUGUUGAAAAAUGUGCCGCAUGUCAAACCGUUGGCUGAGCACAGCACAUCAUCCAUGGGGCCAUUUUUACUGUACACACACAUCCUUCGUUUCCUACGAACACACCACUGCCAGAGACUGCAGAUGGAGAAAGGCUCUCAAAUCCCUCUGUUGGUAAAAAGGCGAAAAUGCUCCAGACGGAUUUUCCUCUCCUUUUCCACCUACCCACAGCUCCUUCAGACAGCGUCCUCCCUAUGCAGCAAAUGCAGUCCUGUGAAGGUCAGGGUUGGUGAUAGGCCCGUGUUUUGCUGCUGUGUGCUCAGGUGCAGAAGGUAUGGGAACCCUCCUGGUCCCACCCUGUCUGGGUUUCCCUGGGAGAGCCCUGGUGCCAGGACCUGCACCCCGGAGCUGCUCACACCCUACCUGCUCCGCAAAUGAGCAGAGCCAAAGCAGAUGGCUUUGUGGAGCAUAAAACAAAACAGAGAGAUCUGUGGUGGCUGCAGAAAUACUGCCCUGGCUCUCCCCUGCGUGAUCAGGGGAUGGCAGGGCUCUCCUGCUCUGGGCAGCUGGGUGAGCCCCUAGAAGCUGAAGCUGCUGGAAGAGCUGGCUGCUGACCGACCUCCUGCAUGCCCAAUCCCAGCUCUGCGCUUGCAUUUGUGUUGCAGCAGUGUUUUCCUGGGAGCCAAACAAAACAGUUGUUCAUGAGCCACUCAGAGUAUGUGCUGGGGCAUGAAGGAGGUGUCAGUUUGUCCUCAUUAGUAAUUGCAACAGACUCACUUUGGUGUAGUGUCCUGCUAAAAGGAAUGGUAUGAUGGAUCUUGUCAUCAUUCCUCUGGAAAGUAAAGUAGUCCUCCCCAGUCCGUGGUCCCAGGCAGAGUUUGCUUGCUGAUACAUGAUCAUGGGCAAUGAAGUGAGCUCCAAUCUCCAUUUACGAGCUUUUACAAUCAAUGGUAUGGUUAAAGAUUGCAUGAUAACUAUGCUGGGAAACUUCUGUUUCUUACUCCCCUGUUUUCAGUUGCAGAUAUUUUAUAAUUCAAUGCUGGACUUGUACAUAAUACUUCAGUACCAUUCAUGCAGGUGGCUCCAAUAAAUUUAGA